AGAACGAACGCUGGCGGCAUGCCUAAUACAUGCAAGUCGAACGAGACCUUCGGGUCUAGUGGCGCACGGGUGCGUAACGCGUGGGAAUCUACCCUUGGGUUCGGAAUAACAGUUGGAAACGACUGCUAAUACCGGAUGAUGACGAAAGUCCAAAGAUUUAUCGCCCAGGGAUGAGCCCGCGUAGGAUUAGCUAGUUGGUGAGGUAAAGGCUCACCAAGGCUACGAUCCUUAGCUGGUCUGAGAGGAUGAUCAGCCACACUGGGACUGAGACACGGCCCAGACUCCUACGGGAGGCAGCAGUAGGGAAUAUUGGACAAUGGGGGCAACCCUGAUCCAGCAAUGCCGCGUGAGUGAUGAAGGCCUUAGGUGUAAAGCUCUUUACCGAGUAUGAUAAUGACAGUAUCGGUAAGAAUAAGCUACCGGCUAACGUCCGUACCAGCAGCCGC
rnacentral:rRNA from 1 species